rnacentral:misc_RNA from 1 species
AAGUCGUAACAAGGUCUCCGUAGGUGAACCUGCGGAGGGAUCAUUAACACGUUUUAAAACACGUUUUAUACCAACCAACCACGUGAACUAUUUAACACUCCUGGAAGAAAAGAAUUCUGUCUCUUCACACUAAUGAUGAGCCCUCUCGCAAGAGAGAGCAGUGUGUCUAGACUAGCAUGGCUGUUCUACACUUCACCGUGUCUUGCAUACCUGUACAGACCUUUUCUUUUGGGCUAAAUGCGCCUAUUAUCAUUUGCGCGAAAACACCCCUUUCACCACUUCUAUAACUAUUGACUGAUCUUUUUCUUUGCAACAUAAGAAAAAACCUAAUCAAAUAUCUAAGCACAACUCUUAGCAACGGAUAUCUUGGUUCUC